rnacentral:tRNA from 1 species
GCCGGAGUGGUGAAACUGGCAACCACGCACGCCUCAAGAGCGUGUGGGCGAAAGUCCUUGAGGGUUCGAGUCCCUCCUCCGGCACCG